rnacentral:rRNA from 1 species
CAGCACCUCAAGUGGUCAGGAUGAUUAUUGGGCCUAAAGCAUCCGUAGCCGGCGCUGUAAGUUUUCGGUUAAAUCUGUACGCUCAACGUACAGGCUGCCGGGAAUACUGCAGCGCUAGGGAGUGGGAGAGGUAGACGGUACUCGGUAGGAAGGGGUAAAAUCCUUUGAUCUAUUGGUGACCACCUGUGGCGAAGGCGGUCUACCAGAACACGUCCGACGGUGAGGGAUGAAAGCUGGGGGAGCAAACCGGAUUAGAUACCCGAGUAGUCC